rnacentral:lncRNA from 1 species
AAGAGUUUCCUCAGAAGGCUCUCAUUGCAGGGCCCUCUCCUCCCUCAUGGCUGCCUAGAGGCAAGCAACUCUGCUCCACCAUACCCCUCUCCCAUGGUGUCCUGCCUCACCAUAGUACAUGGCAGUGUGACCAGCCUGCCAUAGACUGCAAGCUUCAAAAUGGACAGGAUCUGGAGGAAAUAAUCGGCACCUCUGACAGAGAUGUCUUUCACCUUUGGUGUGACUUCUGAGCACCUGA